rnacentral:rRNA from 1 species
AGCGAUCUGGAAUGUAAAACCAAGUAUAACAAAGGGGCUACUAGGGAUGACUAGGCAAUGGAUCGGAAUGAGGUCUAAUCCAAACUGUCGAAUCCGAUCAAGGGUAUGUUAAUCAACCCGGUCUCGACGAUCAAGGCCAAAAGGUGCCUCACUUACCUUGGGAACUGAAACAUCUUAUGUACCAAGAGGAAAGGAAAUCAACCGAGACUCUACAAGUAGUGGCGAGCGAACGUAGACAAGCUAUCUCUAUCAACUUAGACAACCUCUGUUUACGUUUAUGCGUAGCAGCAGGAAAAUGGUAGCCUUCGGACAAAGACAUAAACAAUAGCUUGGAAUAGCUAGCCACAGAUGGUGAUAGCCCAGUGAUGAUAUGACUUUGCUCCCUUUUGGCAGUGAAUUUAAUUCCUUAGAGAGAAUUGGCGGCUUGUCAAGCUGCUUUUAUAAUACCCUGUCUAUUAAGGCAGGAAAGGUGUACCAUCAUCAAAGCUAAGUAUGUUCCAUUGACCGAUAGUGCAGAGUACCGUGAGGGAAUGUUGAAAAAGCAGGUAGUAAACUGGUGAAAAGCCUGAACUAGUGGCUCCAUAAGCAGCUGGAAUCACAACAGCCAUUGACUCCAACUCAAUGUGUGAUGACAGCGUACCUUUUGUAUAAUGGGUGUACCAACCAUCAGACCCGAACCCAGGUGAUCUUGCCAUGGCCAAGUGCUAUUUAAUAAGACUGAACGGGUGUCCGUUGCAAGGGACUCCGAAGAGCUGUGGCAAGGGGUGAAAAGCCAAUCUAACCUGGAGAUAGCUGGUCUUCUGCGAAACCCGUUUUAGCGGGUCGCCCAUUUAUUGAAAUUAAAUUCGUUACUAGACGGUACGGCACUGGAAGCCACGCAGCUUUUGCUGCAUAAUCGGGGGGCUGUCAUGGCUCUAUCGAUGGCUUCUAACCCCGGAAAUGUAUAGUAUACAAUGAUGGGCAAUCAGACGUAUCGUGAUAAGGCGAUUCGUCAAAAGGGCAACAGCCCAGAACAGGUGUGAAGGUCCCUAACAAGCUACUGAGUGAACACAAGGCAGUCCUCUCCAGUGUCUCUCCACAAAGUGGGCUUGGAAGCAGCCACCUUUUAGCGAUAGCGUAACAGCUCAGUGGUCUGAGCCUCCCUGUAAAAAGGGAAUAUUGCCUGGUGAGGGCGCCAAAAAUGUAACGGGUCUAUAGUAGUUGUCUCUCUGUUCCAGCUUUGGAUAUGGAGGGAGUGGCAGUUUCUUCACUGUCUCACCGAAACCCUGUCCUAGAUGUAAAAUUCUAGGGGUAGCAGAAUACCCAGCAAAUGGAAUGAAGCUUGCUCAUUGAGCCGGUGGACAUAGCUGGGCUAAGAAUGCUGACAUGAGUAGCCUAAAAGGAGGGUAAUUCCCUCUUCGCCGAAAGCAGAAGGGUUUCAUUUGUAAGGUCUAUACCUAGAUGAUUAAAGCAGCGGCCUCUAAGGUUCAGAGUAACAAAUUAGUUCCGAUGAGUAACUCUUCUAUAGGGCAGUAACCUUCCUUAUAAGUUUACCUUCAAGUAAUUAGAGGUAUACUUCAAAGAGUAAGGUUCGGGAAAGAGCCCUACAGAAUAAAUCUUAAAACCGUACCCUAAACCGACACAGGUCUGCAAGUAGAGCAUACUAAGGCGUAGAGAUAAUCGUCUUGAAGGAACUCGGCAAAAUGACCCCGUAACUUCGGGAGAAGGGGUGCCACUAAUAAGUGGCGGCACUAAACAGGGGGGCGCGACUGUUUACUUAAAACACCGGACUCUGCUAACACUAGCGUGGAUGUAUAGAGUCUGAUACCUGCCCGAUGCUAGAUGAUCAACUAAGCCGUUUUAGGAUGGCAAAGGAAGCUCUAGUCAAUGGCGGCUGUAACCUUGACGGUCCUAAGGUAGCGAAAUUCCUUGGCAUUUAAAUGAUGUCCCGCAUGAAAGGUUUAACGAAGCUCCCACUGUCUCCAAGACGAGCUCGGCGAAAUUGAAUUAUCCGUGAAGAUGCGGAUUACCUCCAGCUAGACGAGAAGACCCUUUGAAGCUUGACUGCAACUAGUUAGUGUGUAACCGCUACUAAGGUACAAAGGGAGUCGACUAGACGAGAUACCUUGAUCUUUGUAGUAGGUUUCACUAUAAAUGCUGGCUAGUGGGCAGUUUGUCUGGGGCGGCAAUCCUCACCUAAAGUAACUGAGGAGUCCGAAGGUGUGCUUUGCUAGGUUGGAAACCUCUCUAUGGCUAUGGUGAGCCUAAAUAAGCGCAAUGGUAUAAGCAUGCUUGACUGUGAGACCUACAAGUCUAUCAGGUAAAACCCUUUCUAUUUACCCCUUCAUAUAUCAGGUCUCUCACGGCUAAAGUUAACCUUACCUUCUUUCUUAUUUCAUCACUUGUUAGCCUUGGUUCACAGUGCAGCGCACUUGUGGAACAAGUUUGUUUUGUUUAAAGUAGUAAAGGAAUGGAAGAAGGGGUAAUUAGGUAUAAAGGGUAUAGGUAACUAGGGCAUAGUGACCCGGUGAUACAUCAUGGAAUGUUCAUCGAUCAACGGAUAAAAGCUACUCAAGGGAUAACAGGCUGAUCCUCCACGAGAGUCCAUAUUGACUGGGGGGGUUGGCACCUCGAUGUCGGCUCAUCCUAUCCUAGAGCAGUAUAAGGUUCUAAGGGUUCGGCUGUUCGCCGAGUAAAAGGGUACGUGAGCUGGGUUAAGUACGACGCGAGUCAGUACGGCUUCUAUCUACUGGAGGGAGUUGGAAGUAAGGAGGAAGCUAUUUUUAGUACGCGAGGACUUAAAUGGAGUGACCUCUGGUUUACCAGUUAUCAACAGCUAAUAAAGCUAUGGUAUGGCUGGAAAGCUACGUCACGAAUAGAUAACUGCUGAAACCAUAUCAAGCAGGAAACUACUCCUCUAUACUUCCUUUGAAACUUAGGGUAGACCACCCUAUUGAUAGGGCCUGGGUGUAAUAGCAGUAAUGCUUUUAGCCUCGGGUUACUAAUUGUUAAGCAACUUGGUUUUACCAGAUCGUU